AACGAACGCUGGCGGCAUGCCUAAUACAUGCAAGUCGAACGAGAUCUUCGGAUCUAGUGGCGCACGGGUGCGUAACGCGUGGGAAUCUGCCCUUGGGUUCGGAAUAACUUCUGGAAACGGAAGCUAAUACCGGAUGAUGACGUAAGUCCAAAGAUUUAUCGCCCAAGGAUGAGCCCGCGUACGAUUAGGUAGUUGGUGAGGUAAAGGCUCACCAAGCCGACGAUCCUUAGCUGGUCUGAGAGGAUGAUCAGCCACACUGGGACUGAGACACGGCCCAGACUCCUACGGGAGGCAGCAGUAGGGAAUAUUGGACAAUGGGCGAAAGCCUGAUCCAGCAAUGCCGCGUGAGUGAUGAAGGCCUUAGGGUUGUAAAGCUCUUUUACCCGGGAUGAUAAUGACAGUACCGGGAGAAUAAGCUCCGGCUAACUCCGUG
rnacentral:rRNA from 1 species